UGGCUUAGAGGGUAAAGCGUCUGUUUGCAAUGCAGGAGACCCGGGUUCAAGAUCCCUGG
rnacentral:tRNA from 1 species